UACGUAGGGUGCGAGCGUUGUCCGGAAUUAUUGGGCGUAAAGAGCUCGUAGGCGGUGUGUCACGUCGGCCGUGAAAACCUGCAGCUUAACUGUGGGCGUGCGGUCGAUACGGGCAUCACUGGAGUUCGGCAGGGGAGACUGGAAUUCCUGGUGUAGCGGUGAAAUGCGCAGAUAUCAGGAGGAACACCGGUGGCGAAGGCGGGUCUCUGGGCCGAUACUGACGUGAGGAGCGAAAAGCGUGGGGGAGCAAAACAGG
rnacentral:rRNA from 1 species